AAAAAGUUAUUUAUUGGCUCUUUGAUGGGUGGGGCCUUGUCUUUCUGUGGUACCUCCCCAGAAAGUCCUGAGCCUACAUCUAAAAACAAAGCUUCAGGCUAUCCCAGCUCUUCCCAGCUCGCUGUGUGAAAAGCUAACAUGGCCUUGAGCACCGGCUAGACUUGGCUGGGAAACCUCCUUCUCCUGCCUGGGGUGUGAUUCUAGCCAGCUCAGGAGCCCAGGUGAUCCCCAUGGUUGGGGACCAAGAAGACGUAGUUUGUGAAUCCAGGUUAAGCAGUCACUGGCUGUACCCACGAAAACUCCAGAAAGUGCCGCCAUCCUUGAGAGAAAUCUGCCUUCAGACUGACCGAGGUGCUGAUCGAUCCUUUCCGCAAAGGAGCUCUGGGAAGUGGGAAGCUUUUGCCAGAGGACAGACUGCAGAAGGAUCCAAGAGUCACCUUUGCUCAGGUUUCUGCUGGAAUGAACUCACUCGAAAAACAGAAUAGGACUUCGGAAAAGAGAAGAAAAUAGGGGGAAAGCAAUAACUUAUAAAAAGAAGAAUAGAAAGGACAAAAAAAAAAGUGAAAUAAAUAAAAGUCACAAAGAUGGAAAGGAUAACACGGAGUUGCCGGAGGCUCAUUCUAGAUGCUGCAAUGCGAACAGACCACAGGAAGAAACAGCAGACGGUGAUUGGGUGGCUCCUGUGUAAUCCAGCAAUGAACUUGGUAAAUGUUAGCAUUCGUUUGUCGAUUGUCUUCUCCUCCAUCAAAGAGACAGGGACUGAGACCUGGAAAUACAUAAAAGCUUAAAGGCUAGGACCCGCCACCGACUGAGAAUCCACAUAAAUGAUGCAAAACUCCUCUAAAAUUAUCAUACACUGUUGUCCAAUCCUCCGAUUUGGUUCCCUUCUCCAGAACAUGAAGAUUUCUUACGGAGAUUACUUUAUCUUUGCCCUUACAAAAUCAGUUUUGAGGAAUUUCUGGCUCAUCAAGAGAAGCAGCCAUGACAUUGGGGUCAUCCUCCAGACAAAUAUCUCAUCUCGCCUGAUGAAAUCAGGAAGGUGCUUCUGGUGUCCAAGGGAUGAAUGUCUCAUCUCCUGGGAGGGGACUGAAGUCCUCGGCCAGGGGAAGCCAGAACAUCUGUUACAGGCAUGAUCCAGCCUGCUGGCUGAGCGGAGUCUACGGAGGCACUUAGAAUAAAGCCUUGGGUCUUCAUCAGAAGACAUUGCCGUGGUCACCAAGCCAUUUGCAAUGGAAUCCAGGAUGCACUCAUAGGGACUAAAUACACUUAUGAAAAAAUGGUUAUUAGUAUAAUAGUGGGUCCAAAAAGCUCACUGUCUCAGGCACUGACUUUCCUUUUGCUCAUUUGAAAAAAAAAGAUGGGGCACCUGGGUGGCUCAGUCGGUUAAGCGGCCGACUUCGGCUCAGGUCAUGACCUCACAGUCCGUGAGUUCGAGCCCCGCGUCGGGCUCUGUGCUGACGGCCCGGAGCCUGCUUCGGAUUCUGUGUC